GGCUGCGUGGUCUAGUGGUAUGAUUCGCGCUUCGGGUGCACGAGGUCCCGAGUUCCGUUCUCGGCUCAGCCC
rnacentral:tRNA from 1 species